rnacentral:rRNA from 1 species
GACGAACGCUGGCGGCGUGCUUAACACAUGCAAGUCGAACGGAAAGGCCCUGCUUUUGUGGGGUGCUCGAGUGGCGAACGGGUGAGUAACACGUGAGUAACCUGCCCUUGACUUUGGGAUAACUUCAGGAAACUGGGGCUAAUACCGGAUAGGAGCUCCUGCUGCAUGGUGGGGGUUGGAAAGUUUGGGCGGUUGGGGAUGGACUCGCGGCUUAUCAGCUGGUUGGUGGGGUAGUGGCUUACCAAGGCUUUGACGGGUAGCCGGCCUGAGAGGGUGACCGGCCACAUUGGGACUGAGAUACGGCCCAGACUCCUACGGGAGGCAGCAGUGGGGAAUAUUGCACAAUGGGCGGAAGCCUGAUGCAGCAACGCCGCGUGCGGGAUGACGGCCUUCGGGUUGUAAACCGCUUUCGCCUGUGACGAAGCGUGAGUGACGGUAAUGGGUAAAGAAGCACCGGCUAACUACGUG